AACGAACGCUGGCGGCACGCCUAACACAUGCAAGUCGAGCGAUAAGCACCUUUCGGGGUGUGGACAGCGGCGGACGGGUGAGUAACGCGUGGGCACCUGCCUUUUAGUAUGGAACAACAGUUGGAAACGACUGCUAAUACCGUAUACGCCCUUUGGGGGAAAGAUUUAUCGCUAAAAGAUGGGCCCGCGUUAGAUUAGUUAGUUGGUGAGGUAAUGGCUCACCAAGGCGACGAUCUAUAGCUGGUUUGAGAGGAUGAUCAGCCACACUGGGACUGAGACACGGCCCAG
rnacentral:rRNA from 1 species